ACACUCCUGCGGGAGGCAGCAGUGGGGAAUAUUGGACAAUGGGCGCAAGCCUGAUCCAGCCAUGCCGCGUGAGUGAUGAAGGCCCUAGGGUUGUAAAGCUCUUUCACCGGAGAAGAUAAUGACGGUAUCCGGAGAAGAAGCCCCGGCUAACUUCGUGCCAGCAGCCGCGGUAAUACGAAGGGGGCUAGCGUUGUUCGGAAUUACUGGGCGUAAAGCGCACGUAGGCGGAUCGAUCAGUCAGGGGUGAAAUCCCAGGGCUCAACCCUGGAACUGCCUUUGAUACUGUCGAUCUGGAGUAUGGAAGAGGUGAGUGGAAUUCCGAGUGUAGAGGUUAAAUUCGUAGAUAUUCGGAGGAACACCAGUGGCGAAGGCGGCUCACUGGUCCAUUACUGACGCUGAGGUGCGAAAGCGUGGGGAGCAAACAGGAUUAGAUACCCCGGUAGUCCCAUGAU
rnacentral:rRNA from 1 species